GACGUUUAGAAUUGUUGCUGAUGGCGCGCAUUGUACCCGUUGAGGAGACAUUAAUGGCAUUAAAUGUCAAACACUUUCUUGAAAUAGACCAUAAGAAGAACUAAACAGGAGAAAUUACAGCAUUUUCAAGAAGAAGAAAAUGUAUUUUGAAGUGCAAGAGGAAAUUGAACUGGAAUCAGUUGAGGAGGAGCAUCCAGUUGCAACCAAAUCUGAAAUACAUAAUUACGACGAAGAUGGACAAGAUGCCACCAACAUGCAAUGCAGCGAUUGUCAUCGGUUUUUCAAAACCAAACAAGAGUUGAUUGCCCAUCGAUUGAUAUCGCAUCAGUCCGAAAAGAAAUAUCAAUGUCAGUCGUGCAAUCGCGUAUUUUCGUCGCAGAGCAGUCUGCACACUCAUAUGAAAUUGCAUUCUGGAGAUAAGCGAUUUGCGUGUGAUGUUUGCCAGAAGGAGUUCACGCAGUUGACGAACCUACAACGCCAUUUGUUCACCCAUUCUGGUGAACGACCUUUCGCAUGUUCGAUUUGCGAUAAGCGCUUUACACAAAAAUCGAACGUCGACAAGCAUCAACUGACUCAUGCUAAAACGAAACCCUUCAAGUGUUCCACAUGUGACAAAGCGUUCACUCAAAAAGUGAAUUUGACCAAACACGAAAUGAUACACAGUGGUUUGCGUCCAUUCGUGUGUGAAAUUUGCUCCAAAGCGUACACCCAACUAGUCAAUUUGAACAAGCACAUGCAGACGCACACAAAGCCACGAGAUUCGGUGUACGUUUUUUAAUUUUAUUAUUCCUAUUUGUAUGUCAUUUACGCACAACAACCAGGCCUAUCGGAGGCUCAUACAUAUAAAUAAGUCUAGGGGCCUACCUAUGCGCAAAGUGUAAACAACUAUUCGAUUCGGUUCUGACCUAUACGUCCCAUUUGGAUUCCUGUCGCGGCACCAAUACAAAUAUGGAAUUUGAGUUGACUUUAGAUGAAAUCGAGGAUAAUGAUCCCAACUCGAAUAAAGUGAAUAUUUUGAAUAUUAUCAAGAGCACCGAUUCGAAAAUGAACGGUGCACUUAUGGAUCCUUAAGUUUUAUGUUUACACACGUAUAUGGCACAAUAUUAUUACUCGUUAUUUUGCGUAUUUCCAUAAGAAAAUAAACAAAAAUUGAAAAUUA